rnacentral:misc_RNA from 1 species
CUUUCUACUAAAUGCAAAGAUUAGAAGAGUAUAUAUGAAAGGAUUAUGGUGAUAAAGGAUCUAAGGCAUAAAUGAAAUUCACAAGCAAUUUAAUAAAAGUCAAGAGAUAACAACUAUUAUGGCAAGAUACGGAAUUAUGGACUAAUAUUUCCUAGCCAUGGGACAAGGAAUCUGCUACUAUAAAAAUUUUCUUGGUAAAGCUAGCAAAAGUUAACCAACCCCAACUAGUUUGGG